rnacentral:rRNA from 1 species
UGGGGAAUAUUGCACAAUGGGGGAAACCCUGAUGCAGCGACGCCGCGUGAAGGAAGAAGUAUCUCGGUAUGUAAACUUCUAUCAGCAGGGAAGAUAGUGACGGUACCUGACUAAGAAGCCCCGGCUAACUACGUGCCAGCAGCCGCGGUAAUACGUAGGGGGCAAGCGUUAUCCGGAUUUACUGGGUGUAAAGGGAGCGUAGACGGUGUGGCAAGUCUGAUGUGAAAGGCAUGGGCUCAACCUGUGGACUGCAUUGGAAACUGUCAUACUUGAGUGCCGGAGGGGUAAGCGGAAUUCCUAGUGUAGCGGUGAAAUGCGUAGAUAUUAGGAGGAACACCAGUGGCGAAGGCGGCUUACUGGACGGUAACUGACGUUGAGGCUCGAAAGCGUGGGGAGCAAA